CGUUUCUUAUCUCAUAAACCUAAAUUUUCAUUCUCUUUGGAACAACCUCAGCCGCCACACUUUCUCCAACUUUCUGAAACUCCACGAAUCAUCAAUUACCUUCAAUCGUUUAUAUCAGUAAGCUUCUCAUCCCUAUCUUUUGUAAAUCCGUUCGUUUUUGCAUUGCCGUUCUUAUUCGUAUCUCUAACGUUUUAGCACGUUAUUGAAUCGGGAUUGCGUAUUACGUUAGUAAACUCCAUUAUCCUUAAUCUCUACGCUUAGGAAUCGAUUACGACUGUUCGUCGGAAGACGAACAAUUGGGUCUCAAAUGGCAGAGAGGCGAACCAGAGUUAGGUGCUUGUUAGGAUCACGUGGAUUUAGCAAGCACAUUGUGGAUUUGAUUUGGAAUGUGCUACUCGAUGGGCAUCAUCGGGACUGCGUGCGCACCGGUAAUGAUUAUGGUAUUGAGGUUUAUGAUUUGAGCAUUGGUCGAUCUCCGUUUCUUCAUUCUCGGAGGUUCUUUAUUUUAUUUUUUGAAUAAAAGAGUCGAACUGUUUUAAACUCUUAUACCGCAGUAGUAGUUUCAGAUUAUUCAUGUCUUAGUCUUACGUUUAUAGUUUUGACUAUUGUUUGUUGGAUUGGUCCAACUAUUACUU